AGUGUGAUUGCUGGGUGGUAUGGUGAGUAUAUAUUUAAUUUUUAAAGAAACUGCCAAACUAUUUUUCAGAGUGACUACACUAUUUUGUACUCUUACCAGCAAU
rnacentral:pre_miRNA from 1 species